GGCGGUAUGCUUAACACAUGCAAGAUCGAACGGUCUUUUCGGAGAAUAGUGGCGGACGGGUGAGUAACGCGUAAGAAUCUACCUUCAGGUUGGGGACAACCAGUGGAAACGGUGGCUAAUACCCAAUGUGCCGAGAGGUGAAAGGCUUGCUGCCUGAAGAAGAGCUUGCGUCUGAUUAGCUAGUUGGUGGGGUAAGAGCCUACCAAGGCGACGAUCAGUAGCUGGUCUGAGAGGAUGAUCAGCCACACUGGGACUGAGACACGGCCCAGACUCCUACGGGAGGCAGCAGUGGGGAAUUUUCCGCAAUGGGCGAAAGCCUGACGGAGCAAUACCGCGUGAGGGAGGAAGGCUCUUGGGUUGUAAACCUCUUUUCUCAGGGAAGAACAAAAUGACGGUACCUGAGGAAUAAGCAUCGGCUAACUCCGUGCCAGCAGCCGCGGUAGUACGGAGGAUGCAAGCGUUAUCCGGAAUGAUUGGGCGUAAAGGGUCCGCAGGUGGCAUUGUAAGUCUGCUGUUAAAGAGUUUGGCUCAACCAAAUAAAGCAGUGGAAACUACAAAGCUAGAGUGUGGUCGGGGCAGAGGAAUUCCUGGUGUAGCGGUGAAAUGCGUAGAUAUCA
rnacentral:rRNA from 1 species